AGAGUCGGCCAGACAAUCGCGGAUAACUGCAAUUUAUUGCAGUUUUUCGAGGAAAGUCCGGGCUCCAAAGGGUAGAGUGCCAGGUAACGCCUGGGCGGCGAAAGCCGACGGCUAGUGCAGCAGAGAGAAGACCGCCUAAGUCUAUGUUUUGCAUAGAACGGUAAGGGUGAAAGGGUGCGGUAAGAGCGCACCGCGCUUCUGGCAACAGUUAGCGGCAAGGUAAACCCCACUCGGAGCAAGGCCAAAUAGGGAUCCUAUAGGUGCGACCCGCACUGGAUUCGGGUAGGCUGCUUGAGGGCUGCGGCGACGCAGUACCCAGAUGAAUGGUUGUCCACGACAGAACCCGGCUUAUCGGCCGGCUCUCAUU
rnacentral:RNase_P_RNA from 1 species